rnacentral:rRNA from 1 species
AUGAAUUGCCUAAGUUGGAACUGCCGGGGAGGGGGGAACACCCGGACAGUUUGAGAGUUAGCAACGCUUUGUAAGUCGCAUUCCUCCAUGCUUGUUUUUCUGUGUGAAACUAGACAGAAGGAGGAGAAGAUGAAGAGGAUCCGAGCCAAAUUGGGUUUUAAGGGAUUUUGUGGUGUGGACAGCAAUGGUAUGAGUGGAGGUUUGGCGUUAUAUUGGAGGGAAGAGUGUGAGGUAGAUAUUUGGACAAAGAUGAUAUAUUUAUUGAUGCAGUUAUUAGAGUUCGAGAAGGAGCUGCCCAAUGGAGAGCCACUUUUGUGUACGGGGAGCCGAGGGUGGAGAACAGACACCUAA